rnacentral:rRNA from 1 species
ACGCGAAGAACCUUACCCAGGCUUGAACAGCGAGUGACAAACUACGAAAGUGGUCUUCCGCAAGGACACUCGUAGAGGUGCUGCAUGGCUGUCGUCAGCUCGUGUCGUGAGAUGUUGGGUUAAGUCCCGCAACGAGCGCAACCCUUGUCUUCUGUUGCCAUCAGGUAAAGCUGGGCACUCUGGAGAGACUGCCGGUGAUAAACCGGAGGAAGGUGGGGAUGACGUCAAGUCAGCAUGGCCUUUAUGUCUGGGGCUACACACGUGCUACAAUGGCCGGCACAAACCGUCGCAAAACCGCGAGGUGGAGCUAAUCGGAUAAAGUCGGUCUCAGUUCGGAUAGCAGGCUGCAACUCGCCUGCUUGAAGUUGGAAUCGCUAGUAAUCGCGGAUCAGCACGCCGCGGUGAAUACGUUCCCGGGCCUUGUA